rnacentral:misc_RNA from 1 species
UACGUAGGUGACAAGCGUUGUCCGGAUUUACUGGGCGUAAAGCGCGCGCAGGCGGGCGUGCAAGUCGGGAGUGAAAGCCCGGGGCUCAACCCUGGGACCGCUCACGAUACUGCAUGUCUAGAGAUCGGUAGAGGCCGGUGGAAUUCCCGGUGUAGCGGUGGAAUGCGUAGAGAUCGGGAAGAACGCCUGUGGCGAAGGCGACCGGGUGGGCCGGUUCUGACGCUGAGGCGCGAAAGCGUGGGGAGCAAACCGG